UUGAACGCUGGCGGCAGGCCUAACACCUGCCAGUCGAGCGGAUGAAGGGAGCUUGCUCCUGGAUUCAGCGGCGGACGGGUGAGUAAUGCCUAGGAAUCUGCCUGGGAGUGGGGGAUAACGUACGGAAACGGGCGCUAAUACCGCAUACGUCCUGAGGGAGAAAGUGGGGGAUCUUCGGACCUCACGCUAUCAGAUGAGCAUAGGUCGGAUUAGCUAGUUGGUGGGGUAAAGGCCUACCAAGGCGACGAUCCGUAACUGGUCUGAGAGGAUGAUCAGUCACACUGAAAAUGGCACACGGUCCAAACGCCGACGGACGUCAUCGUGUCGUAAUAUUAAACAAUGUGCGAAAGCCUGAUCCAGCCAUGCCGCGUGUGUGAAGAAGCUCUUCGGAUUGUAAAGCACUUUAAGUUGGGAAGAACGGCCUUAAGUUAAUACCUUACUUUUUUAACGUUACCAACAGAAUAAGCACCGGCUAACUUCGU
rnacentral:rRNA from 1 species